GGAACUUAAUAAAUUUUGCGCUUUGCCAUUGUUGAAAUUUCCAAACACGCAGAAAGAGCAAAUACAGUUCAGGUAACAAUCUCUUUUCCAAGUUCAAAUUUGAGUCGUAUCAUGUAUGUGUGAUUAUUGCUCUGUUUCAGCUUCUCCUUGGGUUGUAUCAUGUAUGUUUAAAUGACAGUUGAGAGGGACUAACAUAGGAUAAGCAAAUUCAACAAAAAGUACUUUUUCCAACUUUCGCUUUGUUCUUCACCCUUCUCAUGGUUUCUCUGUCUUUAGUAUUGAUUAUUUGUCGGUUUUCUCUCAAUCCCUCCUCUUUCUCCAUUUUUAUUAUUUUCAUGAGUUUUUCUAUUUGGAAUCUCAAAUUUCACCGCUUCUUACUUGAUUGUUCAUCCUUCUAAUUGUGUGCUCUUUGUGUUGGUGCAUAUUUUUCGCAAUUAUUUUUGUUAUUAGUUUACUUUCUUUGAUUGUAAUCAUCAUUACAACUUUUAGAUGGUUUCUAAUUAGAUUUUAUACAUGUAUAUAAAAAAAAAAAAUCUAAUUUACUCAUGCAUGUAAGGUCUCUUUUAUAAAUUUAAUUUUUCCUUUGCGCUGUUAAAAUCUAUGUAUUAGAUGUGCCUUUUUUCUUUUUAUUCUAACAAAUAUACAAAGAUGUACUCUGUAGUUGCAACAACUAAUUUAACUGAGGCACAUAAGGUGUUUGAUAGUAUGCCUAAUCUAACUAAAAAAAUUUAUUGCUUUUUUCCACAGAUUUUCUACAACGUAUUCCUUUGUGCGUGAAUGAUACAAAGGUACAUGAUUUGUUUCUGCUAGACGUGUGUUGUUUAUAUAUUUUUUCCCAAGAAAUACAUUUGAAAGAUCUAUCCUUUAUUUGCAUCUAUUUCAAUUGUAAGUUGUUGCUAUUAGUUUAACUUUGUGUCAGCGAAAAAAACUUAGAUAUAGUGUGCAGUUUUUCAGCAUUCAAUGAAACUGUAAAUAUUAUUUUUUGUUAUAACAAGAUCAAAAAUUGCUCGAAAUAAGAAUGUCAACAUACAAAGGCAUUACAUAGAUUUCAAAAGACUAAGGACAUCGACUGGAUGAUAGAGUAAUGGGAUGGCGUACUAGAUAUGUCACAAUUCACCCGAACAACUUCAAACUAAAAGAGCUUAAUAUAAAAAAAUGAUGCCUUUUAUAUCAUUCAAAAAACUUAGUACCUACUCAACCUGAAAAAAUGAAAUGCCCUUAAAAUAAUUGAUCCUUAAUCAGUUUCUGAGAAAGGUCAGGAAAGUAUAUUAUUUUCUUCGUUCUCAAACACAUUCCUAUAUAAACAAACUUAUUUCUGUGAACCAUCUAUAGCUUUAACAAAAUAAUCUUUGCAUGUUUCCUUUAUUCACAAGAACAAUAUAUAUGAUUCUCUAGACUAGACAGUAAUAUUAUCUCUCUGUCUUAUAUGUGUUGUACGUAUUUAUAGCAUUUCGACAUCACAUCUUCUUUUGUGACACAACAAAUAUUUUGAAAUUUCACUUUUUCCUAUUUGAAUGGGACCUUAUCCACUUUACUAGAGUUGUACGUUGUCGUUUCAAGUAGAAAAAUCAAAAUAAAUUAAUACACCUCCAAGGAAUGAAGAAUGUUCACCAAAUAUGAGCAGCCCCCAUUGUGAAAGACGAAGAACCAGAGCAUUUUCCUCGACAACUUAGUUGAAUAUUCCUCAGAAAUCUUAUUACACUUCUUUGUUGCUGUCAAAUUUGUUAGUUUAAGGAGAUACUACUGCUUCAUGCCUCUGUAAUUUCUAAAAAGGAGAAAGUCAUCUAUCGUUUUAAGUACCUUCUUAGGCUUUUUAUAUUUAAGGGUCUAAGAGGCAAUACAUUGAGCAGAUCAAACUGUUAAGCUUCCCACUAGACGUAAAUAAUCGAAUCAACACCAACCAAUAUAUGAGUUAUAUGAGUGUUUUCUCUGAACAGUAAUCCCCAGAUCAGAAUUGAAAGGACAUACCAGCCUUCGAAGGAUUAUUAGACAUUCCUUCAUGUCAGGAGGAGGAUAAGGAAAAUAUUAUUUAAUAGUCAACUUCUUAAUGUUCAUUUUACAUGGUCUUUCUACAAGUAUAUACUUGACGCUAAAUUGACAUAUCAUGGUAUCCAUAUUAUGAAUUUGCCGCUUGAGGUGCAGUUUUUUUGUGUGUAUGUGUGUGAUUAUGGGCAUUGUGAUUAAACAUUUGUUCUGCUCAUAUUUCUUUUUAUGUAUGAGAGGAUAUAAAUGUUAUUUAGACCUACAUCCAGUGUUAAUGCUAAUGAAGAAUAGUUGAUACAUUUUGAACGCAAUGAGGUAUCAGUUCUUCAGCGACAAUUCAAAUUUUAGUAUUUUUGUUACUGAGGUUAUAAUUGCAAUUUGUUUUAUGAAAGUAAUUGAUUAUGGACUAAUCCUGAAGCAAAUAAGCAACAGAAUGUCACUUGGUUGCUGAGAAUUAGGUGAUAACUGUUAGCCACUCUCUGUUAAAUGUAUUUUUUAAAGGAUUCAGCGAGGAUCUAAUCUUUAUUUUUCUCGACAAGGAACUUAAGUUGGUAAUUAGCAAUUGUCCAGAUAUCGAUCAGAUUUUUCAUUAUAAUCUUAUUUGUUAAUUCAUGUGGUAAUCCUAUCUUUGAUAGUUUUCCGUCAAUAUAAAGAAAGAGAUGUUUCUUGUGUUCAAUCUUUUCCUUGCUUUGUAGUUGAUGACUUGAGGCAAAUACAAAAUCUUCUGCAUAUAGUGCAAUAUCAUCUAUUAUUAAUUUGUUCGAAAAAAUUGUUUCAGAUUUAAGCAAGAAAAAUAAAGUUUGUCUUCUCCAUUUUAUCUCCAAGACCUCGAAGGUAGUUUGCAGCUUUCAUUUGAUUACAGCUACAUGUUAUAUCUCCUGCAAACGUCUAACAAAUUUUUGUCAACUUUUUCAGGUGUCGUUUGAAAGGGUUUAUUCACUGCAAGAAAUUUCAAGCUCCAAGAAACUUUAGACCCACAAUAAUUACACCACUCCUGAUCAAUUACCUACAACACAAAUGUGAUAAUUAUUUUAUCAUCUGGAAUUAGACUAUGAUUGAACUCUUGAUGUUGAAGAUUUCUACCAAUGAAAGAUAUGUAUUGCUCCUCUCCAAGUUACUUAACCUCUUUUUGUACCAUCUUAAUUUACUUGUAUAUGUAUUUCUUAAAAUACCAGUGAAGUUCAUGUUGCUUCUUUGUCCAAAUUGACUUCUCUAGCUUUUUUUUUCCUAUGUGCAUAUUUAAUUUAUAAUAUUGAAAGCUUCACAGGUGAUCUUAGUAAAAAAAAAUUAUGUUUACACCACUACUAUCAUUUAUAUUUAUUGAUUGAUGAUGAGAGUGACAUUGUAACUCUCUUCAUUUGCUUUUAUUUUCUAGGUUCUGAGAUGGUAGACGAGGAAACAAAAAGAAAAUAAGUACUUUAUGAACAUGAUCUGUACACUAGACAUAGUCCUAUAAUCAUUUAUCUUAGUUGAAACAUAUGUAUUAUGUAUUUAUAUCAAGCAUGUUCUAACAGAGGAUGGUUGCGGUUAAGACUUGAGAGAUUGAAUUGAUAAUAUGGAGUCUCAAGAGUCUUUUUGAGAAUUAAGAGCUAACUAAUAGCAUUUUCAUUUUUGUAAAAAGGUAGAACAUAAUGUGUCAGCUGAUACGCUUAGUUCAUAAGUUCAAGAAAUUCUUUAAGUUAUUCGUAAUUGUCUAUGUUGUGUUCACACGGUUUUUAGUCCAAAUGUUCAACUUCGAGUCCUUUUGAUGCUUUUGCUUUGUCUUUUGAGGUUUCUCAAACAUGUAAUUGUAUCUUUUGGUGUAUGAAGUAUGCUGUGAAACCUUACAGGUUAGUUGUUCACAAGACAAAGUUCUAACUAUUUCAUUCUGAAGACUUCUUGAGAGAAUAAAAACGAUG
rnacentral:lncRNA from 1 species